CACUCUCAAAAAUGUCCUGGCUUAAGACAAUAAGUUAUAUAGUACCUCAAUGUAUUUUCCUACCAGCAUUUGUGUUUCCUUUUAAACCCUGAGUUGGAGCUUGAAGCUAAAAGAUAAUCUUUUCAACCCCCAAAUCUUACAGAUGAGAGAUCAAGAAAUAUUAUCCAGUGGCUCUAUGCAGUUCAAAGGGUGGAAGAAAGAAGACCCAGUCAAGGUUUUUGGAUUGGCAGUCUCCAGGUGACAUCUGGUUUUUCUGCCUCCCCCCGAAGGUGGAACAGCAUUGGAAUAUAAUGAAGAGAAGAGUCUGGGAUCACUGCGCAGGCUGCACUGAGAAGGAAAGAGACUGGAAGCAGGAGCCCGCUGGAAAUCACCAAAGUUGUUGGUGUGGGUCAACAGGGUGGUUUCAAUGGGAUCAGAAAUGUCUGGGAUUUCAUGACUUCUGGAUGGUCAAGAAGAUUCACAAAUAUUUUUGCAAGUGACAGCUUUGAAGCCCUGAGACAGGCGGAGGUUUCAGGUAGACGCAGUACGCUGAUGGUGAGAAAACCACAGAGCCUUGUCUCAUGGAGCUUUUGGGUCUGUGGGGAAGACAAGCAACCAAACAAGCAAUGGCCAUCAAGCGAGGCAGAUGC
rnacentral:lncRNA from 1 species